rnacentral:rRNA from 1 species
CAGUCGCCGCGGGAAUACGUAGGUGGCAAGCGUUGUCCGGAAUUAUUGGGCGUAAAGGGCUCGCAGGCGGUUUCUUACGUCUGAUGUGAAAGCCCCCGGCUCAACCGGGGAGGGUCAUUGGAAACUGGGAAACUUGAGUGCAGAAGAGGAGAGUGGAAUUCCACGUGUAGCGGUGAAAUGCGUAGAGAUGUGGAGGAACACCAGUGGCGAAGGCGACUCUCUGGUCUGUAACUGACGCUGAGGAGCGAAAGCGUGGGGAGCGAACAGGAUUAGAUACCCCCGUAGUCCCUGUCUCUUAUAC